rnacentral:rRNA from 1 species
UACGAAGGGGGCUAGCGUUGCUCGGAAUCACUGGGCGUAAAGCGCACGUAGGCGGCUUCUUAAGUCAGGGGUGAAAUCCUGGAGCUCAACUCCAGAACUGCCUUUGAUACUGAGGAGCUUGAGUCCGGGAGAGGUGAGUGGAACUGCGAGUGUAGAGGUGAAAUUCGUGGAUAUUCGCAAGAACACCAGUGGCGAAGGCGGCUCACUGGCCCGGUACUGACGCUGAGGUGCGAAAGCGUGGGGAGCAAACAGG